UGAGAGACACAGCUAAAGCAUGUCAAAUACAAAAGAUAAUGCCAGUAGCAAACCAGUGAACUGAAAACGGAACUCUUGUGGGUAGAUUUUGAGGAAGCAUUACAAGGACUGAAGGGGCUUUCAACCCAAUAAGAACAAAGAUGCCAACAAAUCAGAGCUUUCUGGUACUAAACCAAUGUUCAAAGACUGUACAUGGACAGACUUAUGGCUCCAACUGCAUAUGUAGCACAGCAUAGAUUUGUAGGGCACCAAAGGAAGGAGAAGCCCUUGGUCAUCCAUAGGUUUGACUAUCAGUUAAUGGGAAUGUCAAGGGGCAAUAAAUGUGGUUAUAGAGUCAUUGAAUGGGGACUGCUUAGGGAUCUUAUGGAAAUGAAACUGAAUAAAGACAUAACAUUUGAAAUGAAAGUAUAUAAAUAUUCUAAUAGGGUUUGGGGAUUUGCUCAGUGGUAGAGUAUUUGCCUAGCAAGCACAAAGCCCUGGGUUUGGUCCCCAUCUCUGAAAAAAAAAAAAGAAAUAUGGUCCCCAUCUCUGAAAAAAAAAGAAAAGAAAAAAAAAGAAAUAUCCAAUUAAAAAGGCAAAAAAUUUGUUAAAAAAUAAGAAAAAAAUGAAAGAAAUAAUACAAAAGAGAACUGCCUGCAAAUCACACCUAUUUACUCAGAAAUCUAAUGAGUCACUGUAGGGAUUGGUGGUCAGAGUAAUACUAGUGGAAAGAGUAAGUUGAUGAAACAUUGACUACAAGCAUUUCUUUCUCCUAGACAUCAGUGUUAGAAUUAAAGGGAAAUUGGGUUUUGUUUCUUUUUUAUCUUUUAACUUAGUUGAGAAGCUGAGUUUUUAGUUAACAUAGACUGUAUUACUCUGUGUUUAUUUUUAAUGCAUGCAGUUUAUAUAUCUAAUAUUGUUCAUUACACCCUAACCUCAGACCCACUUUUUGUUUGAUUUUUGUGUAUAUUGGUGAGGGGAGUGUAAUCAGAUAAGGCCAGCUGUCUGUCUUUAUUUAUCUCCCCUCAGGUACUGAGAAGAUAGCAGUGUUGAGAGUCAGAGGGAAACAGAGCAGCCAUAAUGCAUGUACAAGCACGAUUUUUUUUCUUUGAGCAUUCACAUAAAAAAAUUUGUGAAAUAUUGCUAUGGUCUCUCAUGGGGACAUGACCUUGUGUUCAAUAAUUUGCCAUAAAAAAUCUCAUAUCCCAGAGUUUUAAAUUCACACAAAUAAUUUUUUUUCUAUACAGAUUUUUGGUUUUCAGUUUUGUAGGGAGAAGCGGGGUAAAGCAAAGGUGCCACUGACAUCCAGCCCUGUCUGUAUGUAAACAACUUACAGCGCUAGGGCGGCAAUAUGAUAAUGAGGUGAUCUGGCGCCCUCCUGUUGUGAUCAGCAGUACUGCACAUGAGCGGGUUUUACCACUGGAGUCUGGCCAGGCCAGGAUGCUCACUGAACUUGAGGUUGGUCAUUUUGCUCAGCUGCUGGUUAGUGAACUUUCCAGGCCUGCCUGGCUUCAUGAUACAGCACUAAUUUAGGUUAUUCCACUUUCCAUUUCUACCAGUAAUGUAUGAGGGUGCUGUUACGUCCAUCCAAGUGGAUGUGAGGGCAUCAACACAUAUGGUUGUAGACAAGCUGGAGUAAAACUUAACUCAUGAAACCAUUUCUCUCAUCAGCAUCUCUUUGAGGUAAUAAACCACAGAGUUUUGUGAAUAUGUCCUUGCUAAAUGAACGGCCAGCUCACUGGGAGUCUCCUGAAUGUUCUCCACCCUCACAGAGCGGCUGACUCACUGGGACUCUCAUGGAUGUACUCCACUCUGAGUGACUGACUGCAGGGGUGUUUAUGAAUAACCUGAAUAGUGCUCAAGACCAUCUCCAACUAGAGGAUUUUUGAACUGUUCAUCAUUUUUCAUAUCUUUGUUUAUUAAAGACUAUUCUUUGUAAUGAU